GGGAAGUGUAAUUAUAUAUAUAUAAAUGCGAAUGCAGGAUUUGAAUAUCUAAUCUCAUGCACUGCCACCGUUGAGCUACUAACCCAACGGCCAAUAAAUUGCUUAAUGAAUUGCUUGUUAUGUACUACUAAAUUAAAACAUCAUGAAUUGAUGAUUAGCUUACAAUUUCUUUUGUUCAGAAGUUGAAAUAACCGAUAGGAAGCCGGCUCUUGACCAAUUCCAAUUACCAAAAAAUGCUUCCUAUCCCAUCCACAAUCACUCUCCUGUAUCAUAAUUACAACAGACGGUUACAGUAGACACAUGGACAAGAAUCCUUCAGACAGAAUCAGGAAUGAUAAAUGGCUCAACAUACACACAUAGAUAUAGACUAUAUACUGUGGUUGCAGUGACCAGGUUACUCCUUGUUUCGAGAAGACGGAUCCUUCCUUGGACCACCAAGAAUACGUGAAAUUUGCAGACCUCUACUAAAUGCUUGGUUGAAUAGCAUACGAGUUUGGAAUUCAGAAACAAAAGGAAACCAGGCGAGGAAUGCAACUGGAGUGAAUAGAAGCAAGCCCAUGACAAUCUCAUAACCACGUGCGAGCGUCCGUACUGAUCCCCAAAAACCAGCACGAUGAACAAGAGGUUUACAAGCUUGUGCAAUCAAAAGCAUACCCCAGCCAGUUGGCAUGAAAGCAAGAAUGCAUACAAUGAUAUCUUGAAUUGUCAUGUGAGGCAAUGCAAUCAAAGUGACCAGAAUGGAGACAAAAGUAAGGAAUAUCAUUCCCUUGAUCAGCCGGAACACAAGCUGGAAGUUUGCACUGAACUUUCGCCUCCCAACAGAUACCGUCUUCAUUACGAACAAUACCAGAAAGAUGACCAGCCAUGAUAUUCCGUAGACCAGAAAACUUUUGGUGUUUUUCGUAAUCUUUAAGUGAUAUACCAGCCCAUACUGAUAGAUAAAGAAUCGUAAAGAUAACAAUAUCUCAGCCACAAUUCCACGUUUUCCAGAAUGACGAAGAUGCUCCUGUUCCUCUUCCCACCAUGAUUCCCAACUCUUUUCUGGAGGUACACCUAUACCCCCUUUGUUACUAAUCCAUUUAUUCCAAUCAGUCCAAUCAUCAACAAUCUUUUGCCACUCAAAACCGGAAGGAUUAAACAGGAAGGGAGCAAAAAGCCAGGUACCAACCAUAAACCACAUAGAUAUGGUAAUCAAAACAUAAGCAACAGCACUUCUAUAAGGCUGACCAAAGAUCUGGUACACAACAAGCAAAAUCAUCAUCUCAAUACCCUUGACAAAGUGGCUGCGGGAAUAAAGCCUAUAGUUUUCAGCAAACUUGGCAUGGAACACCACAAAUCCUCGACCUGUAGGCCUGUAUUUUGCGCCUCCAUGAAGCAAAGUCCUUCCAUAAUAGUGUGUCUUGGUUCCGAGAGAAAAUGUGAAAAAUACAGGUGCAAGUUGCAGUUGCAUUAAUAUAAAUUCACUAAGUGCAGUUCGGAAUCCCCUUUCCAGGCCAAUUUCCAUCAGCAUAGGCAAGGCCAUCAAAUAUCCAAUUUGAACAAAAGCUUGAGAAGCAAGAGCCACCUGUAGAGGUUUAUUAUCUCUAAUUGCUUUCUGAUUAAUUAAACCUUCCUCAAGACCACUCAGAACGAGAUAAAGACGCCCAUAAAGGAACACAUAUACGGUUAGCACAGUUAUCAGAGUACUGAAGUAGAAACCAACUGUGGUGAAAUAGCAAGACAACAUACGGAAAAAGUCAAAGCGGUGUCCCAGCCGAUACAUAUCACGACUCAAAGUCUGCUCACCAUUGCCAUUAGCAAUUUUGGCCUCAAACAUAGAAAUCUGAUUGAGUCCCACAUCCCUCCCCUUCCCGACUUGUAUGUAUUCAUGAUGCGUAACAUUGCCUUCGCGAAGUGUAGAAUUGAAACCUGCAAAUAUGUCUUCACUCAAAUUGAUAACCUUGGAUGCUUUACUAACACCCCCUCUAGUGAGGUGAAAAAGCCGAUCAAACACAUCUGGAUGACCAUAGUGGAACCGAACCUUUAGCGGGUUGGCCAAGAGCCUUUGACCUAUAGUUACAAAGCUGGUCUCCUGAUUUGACAUAAACCAUGCAAGAGAUGAAACACUUCCCGUAAAUAUAUGUUCCCUGAGUCCAAGUAUUGAAGGAUGUCUCACACCAUCAUGCUUUUUAAGAAAUUCUUCCAGCAAAUUCCUCAUUUUUAAAGCUUCUUCCAUGUAGUUAUCCUGGUUCAUAUCUAUUGUUUGCAAGCCUUCUCCACGUGUAAAGAUAAUAGCAUGAUUUUGGUUUUCAGGUUUUCCCUCACCCAAGAUUGCUGGUCCUGGAAGUUUGAUUCGAUAAAUGACCUCAUCCAAAUUCUGUACUGGCUCCAAAGAAUCAAUAGACUUGGGUGAGGCUGCCUUCACAAGAGCAGAAUAGUAAACUUUUUGGUUGCUCUUCUUGGAUUUGUCUUGGCUAGUCACUUCAACCUCAUCAAUAUAUGCCACACGGAGCGAUGGAUAUUUUGUCAUGAGUCUUAAAAUGUCCUGUGCUCGUGCAUGACCAGAUCGCUUAUCAAUACCAUACUGUUGGCACGAUACCACAUAUGUGAAUUUCAUGUCAGCUAAAGCUUGACAACUUGUCAACAGUGACCUUUCUCCCUUCGACUGAUCGUCUGUAUUUAAUUCUAUAGCUUUAUAGCCCUCCAUCAAAUCUUCAUGUUUUGCCAUAUCAAGGAAAGCCUGAAGCUCCAAUGCCUUGCGAUAAUACAUCAUACCUCUUACAGUUCUAGUCAAUGUCUGGCCCCUAUAUGACGCCCAUAGACGAAGAUCUUCUUCUAAUUCCUCUGUUCCUUUCACUCCUUCACUUCUGCUUUUUACUCGCUCAAGAAUGUCUUUGAGUUCUUCUUCACUUCUGCAGUCUACUCGCUCAAGAAAGUUGUUCCAUUCAUCUGGAAAGAUUUUUUGCAAGUAAAAGAGGAUUGAAACACCAUCUUCAUUUGGCACUUCCAAAUCUUUCAAGGAAAAUAGCACCUCCUCCAUGUAGUACGGAGUUAAAACACUACAAGAUAAAAUAAUAAUAUGAGAAAACCAUUGGUUUUUCGUAUUUUUGUAAAUCAAACCACAAGAAAUAGGAGAAUGGAAGAGAUAGAGUUUAGUGACUUAGUCCCUACCCAUUUGUAUACAUUUUUAUAAAUUAGAUCAAAGUUAUAACACUAAUCUUAGUAUGAAGGAAAAGAAGCUCAGCAGAAACACUGUAACCUAGUAUGCAAACCUUUGUAGGAGGAUGAACACCACACAGCUAAGGGUAAAACGUCAGAAUCAGCUCUCUGUUCAUAUGUUUUCUAGGCAUAAAUAUUAUACUGAACAGGGCCUGGCUUGGCUUAUCCACAAAAGGACACAUUAGUCAUCUUACCACAGUCUAAUGUAAUUGUAUGAAAAAUAAUAUACCCAUGAUUAUUUUCCUGUUUCUCAUGUCAUAUUACAAUAGACAGCCUCAGUUUAUAGCAUAACAGGGCAAUAAGGGAUUGUUUAUCUUCAAUACAUAAAUGCCCAAAACUCCAAAAGUACCAUCUUGAUAUUAAGCACAGGAUGGCCCUCCAGGAUAAAGUGUUCACAGUGAAAAACAUGAGAAUUUUAUGUGAUACACUGCACACCGGAGGAUGAAGGCACAAUUAUUUUUGUUUUGGCACGUCGAAAGCAUCAACAUAAAGAACGCUUACGAGAAAGAAAGCAUAUUGCGAACUUUAGGAGCAGCAGGCAUUUCCAUAAACAAAGAAUUUGAGAAGAAAGAAAUGCGCCUCCUAGCUUCUAAGUUCGAUGGCACAUCCAUUGCAGAUUCUUUUGUUGUAAGCAAAAGAUCAAGCCUCUUGAUCUUCUCUUUCCAUGCCUCUGUUACUGGAUCAAUAGGAAACUUGAUAGCUCCAGAAGAUGCAAACAACUGAUAUUGUUGAUCAAGAGAAGUCAUUGCCUCUCCAUAUCCACCAUGCACUGAAUCCACUAAACUCGAUAUAUGAUCCUCCAUCAUUAUGUCUCGUGUCACAACCUCUAGCAUGUCCUGGAAGAGAAUCACAACUUGAUCCCUGUCAUCCUGUUUGUUCUCUAACAAAUAUUUGAUAAGCUUCACAAAAUGGUCAUAGAGGCUAGGAAGAGCGCUCAUCCUGUAUUCGCUUAUCAGGGUACCUUCAUCAAUAUGUUUGUCAACUUCUGAAAAUAUGAAAUCGAUCACCUCUUUCUCACGUUUUCCUUGAACCAAUGCCUUGAUGAUGUUCCUAAAUGAAGCAUAACAUUCACGAACAGCACAAGACAUGUAGCUGCCACCCUCGAUCCUCUUUUUCAGCUCUUUAUCUUUACCAUUACUGUCCUUGGCCAUGUCUAAGGCUAUUGGGAUCUUGCUGGCAAGCAAAAAUGGAGGCCACUGUAUGAGUUCCAAAUCUUGGUCAGCCCAAUAUGGAACAAGCAACAAAUCCAUUUCCCUAUUGCUUAUUAGAUCUUCGUCUCUAAAGCUACUGAUAAUUUUGUUCCACAACUGGGCAAAUCUCGCUGCCUCCUUAUUUUUGCUAGAAGGGAUCACAGCAAAAUUGCGAGACAAACUGGCCUUCAAUCCUUUCUUUUUUGGCUCAUUCUUCUCCUCCGGAAUUAAACGGGCAUUAAAAGCUCCAGGCAACGAUUCGAAACGAGACCUAAGCAUUCCUAAUGUUCGAAUCUCUCCAAGACGUCUGAAUGCGCCAUAGACACCUCCAAAUAAUGUGGAAAAUAUGGCAUACCAAAUCUGGGCAUCCAUAAAAUAUACAAGAAUAAUUGGAGCCCAGAGAGCAAUCACAACUCCAAUAUUGUUCCUUGCACGAGGAAAGAACUCAUGCCACUGGAAAGUAGUAACACGAACAUCCAUAACAGCUUUUGUUGGACCAACUAAAGGCCUUAUCUCUACGUAGUAACUAAAUGCCAACUUCGUAACAAUGAGCAGAACCCAAAACACUGUAUACUUGAAGAGAGACAGUGCACUCUCAUGCAUUCCUCGUCCAACAUAGAGCCGUGGCUGUGACCACCACAUCAUGAGCAUCACAAUCUUAUAGUUUGAGCCCUCAAGGAAUCGACGUAUGAAGGGAAAAAGAAACAGUAUUGCUGCUAGCAUGUUUGGAGACAAGUAGAUCACUACUGCCAAAAUAAACAAGGAAGGCGAGCUUGAAUUACUGCCAAACCAGCCUUUUAUGGUUUGAGCAAACCCUGGAGGAUUCUCCCAAGUAUAAGCAUAAGUAACUGGUAGGACUACCACCCAUGCAGCAGCUGAAAUAACCUUCAGAAUAUAUCUCAACUUGACAUGGAAUGACAUGCUCUGCCGUGCUUUCCAACUAAGGAUUACAUCAAGGACGGCUUGCCCAAGCUUUAAUAUUGCAGCCGUUAUGAAGACACUCAAUACUUUCUUGAAUAUAUCACCAGUAAAGACAGAGCUUAGCUGCCCCGUACCAUUCCAAGCAACAAUAAUCAUAGCCUGUAACCACAGAAUAAAAAAACUCCACAUUCGAUCAAAGCUUCUAAAGACAUGCCAGAAUGUACGUAUCUCAACAAAAUUAACUUUCCCCACCCAUCGAUCUCUAAAAGCUGGUUUAUUCUCCCCAUUUCUAUCUUUUCGGAAUUGUUCAGCAGUCAGGAGAAAGAAAUCAGCAUCUGCACGCAUUGGCCAACCUAACCGAAAGCAAUCAACUGACCAGAAGUAUUCAUUUAAAUCAUCAUAGUUUCUCCAUUGAGAAUGUUUUGACCUUCCUCCUUUACUCUUUUUGGCUUCCUCUGCUAUUGUAUCAUAUAUUGGUUUUACCACUUUCCUCAAAAAAGCCUCAUCUUCACCUCCAUAGGCUGGUUUUAUGUGCUCACCCGUCAUUGGACUGACACUCCCAGCCAACAUUCCAUAUAGUUCAAAUGCCAUGUGAUGAUAUAUAUAGCAAAGGCAUUCUGGCAUGAAUCUCAAGUUUGCUGCUUCUCCCCAUAUAAGAAGAUAUAGACCCAUAUAUAGUAAUUUUCUUUGCUGCACUUCCUGUUGAAUGGUUGGCAACCAAAGGCUACUUUUGCGCCCCAAAUACUUGCACCAUCUUUUGUAGUUCUUAAACAGUCUCUUCAUCACAUCGGUUAGAGCACAGUCAUCCAACUAGACAGGAAAUGUUGAUCAGACAUGAACAUUAGCCCCAAAUAAAGUAAAAAUGUAUAAACCUAAGUAAUAUGAGAAGUAAAAGUACAAAACCUUUGGUUGCUGAUCAGUCUCUGGAAACAGUCGUAUGUGCACAUUUGCAAGCAACAGAAUCAAAUGUUCCCUCUGAUUUGCCACAUUAUCCUUCUGAAAACCAAACAUAGCUUGAAGCCAAUCUAGAAUGUCUUCAUUUAAACUCUUAUUGUGGCCCUUUGGCCACGGUAAACCCCUGGUGUUUCGAAGUGCAGAAACAGUUGCUCGAAUCUCAGGGAAUCUCAUGAUAGCCUGAUUUUGACUAUCAGGAUCAAGAGGAAGAAUAUUGUAAGGUACAUAUAUCUUUGUCUUUUCUUCAACCUUCGUGUGAGCUUCCAGAAUCUCAUCAGGCACAGCCUCCGUCUGGUUGACAGCCUUCAAAACCUCGAAGAGGACAGCAGCAGUUUGAUAUGCUUUUGUAAGUUGGGCACGAUCAGCUUUAUCAGCUGCAUUCUGUAAAGCUUGAAUAUACUUUUGAUAGUAAUCCCGGUAAAAUUUCUGCAUUUCUCGAGCAUCACUCAUUGUCCUUCCUUGCAUUGUAAUUUCAUUUUCCUUUUCCAAACGUUGUAAAAGUGCAGUUUUAAAUUGGCGAACACCACGCCCACUAGAUGUGGGAUCCAAUCUGUGAGCUUUCUCAAAGGCAUAGAACCGACAGAGAUAAGCAACUCUAGGGUUGCUAGCCUCCACUUGGUUAGCCACACGGAGAAUUGGAGCAAUCUCAACCAGCGAAGAAGGCACCACCUCACUGUCCAACAUGGACUCACCCAGAUUACCGGCUGUCUGGGUCCGCUGAAUCCGCCUUAGUGGCGGUUGGUGAUCCGAACCCCUUCUACUUGACAUGUUUAACUCUACCAGUGAUCAGUUUAAAUCCUCCUUGUUUGCCAGGGAGGGAUCAAAAGUUUCAACUUUCAAGAACAAUCUUAAGUUAUGCUCUGCAUGAUCAACCCAUAAACUUCCGUUUCCAAAAACUGACUGCUUUAUGGAACAGAAGAAAAGAAAGAUAGAGAGAAAGUUUCAAAAUUCUCUACAGUGUACAUGUACAUAAACAAAAGAGAUUAAAAGAUGCACAUGGCAGUCCUUAGAGAGAAUGGUUAUAUCAUAGGUGGGAAACUGGGAACUGGGAAAGACACCAAAAGAGGGGGGCAAAUGGCAAUGCAAUAAGCAAGAGGAGAAGAAACCAACAGCAGCAAGGCAGUC
rnacentral:misc_RNA from 1 species